UACGUAGGGGGCAAGCGUUGUCCGGAAUCAUUGGGCGUAAAGCGCGUGUAGGCGGCCCGGUAAGUCCGCUGUGAAAGUCGGGGGCUCAACCCUCGAAUGCCGGUGGAUACUGUCGGGCUAGAGUGCGGAAGAGGCGAGUGGAAUUCCUGGUGUAGCGGUGAAAUGCGCAGAUAUCGGGAGGAACACCUAUGGCGAAGGCAGCUCGCUGGGACGUUACUGACGCUGAGACGCGAAAGCGUGGGGAGCAAACAGG
rnacentral:rRNA from 1 species